GAUGUACUCCCUCCGUUCGGAAUUACUUGUCGCAGAGAUGGAUGUAUCUAGAUGUAUUUUAGUUCUAGAUACAUCCAUUUCUGAGACAAGUAAUUCUGAACGGAGGGAGUACAUA
rnacentral:pre_miRNA from 1 species